rnacentral:antisense_RNA from 1 species
AGGAGCUGCCGAAGGCUGCGAUCUUUUGAUCUUGUUUUCAUAAGAUCAAGAUCAAAAGAUCGCAGCCUUCGGCAGCUCCA